rnacentral:rRNA from 1 species
UGGGGAAUUUUGGACAAUGGGCGAAAGCCUGAUCCAGCAAUGCCGCGUGUGUGAAGAAGGCCUUCGGGUUGUAAAGCACUUUUGUCCGGAAAGAAAUCCUUGGCUCUAAUACAGUCGGGGGAUGACGGUACCGGAAGAAUAAGCACCGGCUAACUACGUGCCAGCAGCCGCGGUAAUACGUAGGGUGCAAGCGUUAAUCGGAAUUACUGGGCGUAAAGCGUGCGCAGGCGGUUUGCUAAGACCGAUGUGAAAUCCCCGGGCUCAACCUGGGAACUGCAUUGGUGACUGGCAGGCUAGAGUGUGGCAGAGGGGGGUAGAAUUCCACGUGUAGCAGUGAAAUGCGUAGAGAUGUGGAGGAAUACCGAUGGCGAAGGCAGCCCCCUGGGCCAAUACUGACGCUCAUGCACGAAAGCGUGGGGAGCAAACAGGAUUAGAUACCCUGGUAGUCCACGCCCUAAACGAUGUCAACUAGUUGUUGGGGAUUCAUUUCCUUAGUAACGUAGCUAACGCGUGAAGUUGACCGCCUGGGGAGUACGGUCGCAAGAUUAAAA